rnacentral:rRNA from 1 species
GAUGAACGCUGGCGGCGUGCCUAAUACAUGCAAGUCGAGCGAACAGAUGAGAAGCUUGCUUCUCUGAUGUUAGCGGCGGACGGGUGAGUAACACGUGGGUAACCUACCUAUAAGACUGGGAUAACUCCGGGAAACCGGGGCUAAUACCGGAUAAUAUUUUGAACCGCAUGGUUCAAUAGUGAAAGACGGUUUCGGCUGUCACUUAUAGAUGGACCCGCGCCGUAUUAGCUCGUUGGUAAGGUAACGGCUUACAACGGCGACGAUACGUAGCCGACCUGGGAGGGUGAACGGCCACACUGGAACUGAGACACGGUCCAGACUCCUACGGGAGGCAGCAGUAGGGAAUCUUCCGCAAUGGGCGAAAGCCUGACGGAGCACCGCCGCGUGAGUGAUGAAGGCCUUCGGAUCGUAAAACUCUGUUGUUAGGGAAGAACAAAUUUGUUAGUAACUGAACAAGUCUUGACGGUACCUAACCAGAAAGCCACGGCUAACUACGUGCCAGCCGCCGCGGUAA